rnacentral:rRNA from 1 species
ACGCUCGACACCUACGGGAGGCAGCAGUGGGGAAUAUUGCACAAUGGGGGAAACCCUGAUGCAGCAACGCCGCGUGAGUGAAGAAGUAUUUCGGUAUGUAAAGCUCUAUCAGCAGGGAAGAUAAUGACGGUACCUGACUAAGAAGCUCCGGCUAAAUACGUGCCCGCAGCCGCGGUAAUCUGAGCGGGCUGGCAAGGC